GGUGGCUCGUUGUAGUCGUGGGAUGAUGUGUGGUAAUAUUUUUAAAACUAUAACUAAAAAGGGUAAUUAGAGGGUUGCCGUUAUCCCUACUAAAUAUUUCCUUCUAAAGCAAAUUAAAGACUUUCUAAAUGCCGCACUUAUCUUGUCUAGUUGAUAUCAUCUAUAUGAAUAAUUUACUUUUAUUGUGUUAUGUGCUUAGCUAAAUCCGCACUAAUGCCAUGAGAUUUUAGUAAUUUAAAGAGAACGAGAAGAAACUUAAGGACAAAUACUCUAAAGAAACAAUUAUGACAGAGUCUCAAAAUAAUAAAAGAAUUAUUUAGUAGGAAUAAAGUCAAAACUCUAACUACCAUUUUAGUGAUAGUUUUAAAAUUAUUACCAAACAUAUUUUUUAACUAUACAACAACACUGGUUUCAAAAUUUCCCUAAACAGAAAAUUUCAAAAUAGAUCUCUUUCUAUAAUUACAAACCAAAAAAGUAACACCCAAUGCAAUCUACAUGAUUUCAAAACUCUCCUGCACCUAAUAUAGACUGAGAAAGAAAAUACCCAGAUUUUAUUUCUUGAUAAACCCCACAAAUAAAGUCAGCUCUGUGUUGUACAAUACACCAUAAACACCAAAAAUGAUAAUCAGCCAUCUGUAAAGCUAAUGUUCCAAUCUUUGAUAAUAAGAUCAAAUCUUUUAUUUUUUUAAAAACUUCAAUCUUGGAUAAAAUGGAGAAACACUAGAAGUCAUAUACCAAACAAGAUAAGAGAAACCCACCAAAAUGUCCCUUCAAAUGAUGAAACUAAACACACCCAAGUUGUAAUUCUACAUCUAUGGAUCCUUAAGAAUCAAUCUACACCAUCAAUUCAAGAUUUGAAAUUUUUUUUGAUCUAUGAUCAACAACUAUACAAAUCUAGAAAUAUCUGAUGAGGUACAUUGAAUGUCGAUAAAAACAGAAGCUGAAAUGGGUUUUGGAGUUUCAUGUCUGAACAUCAUUUGGGAUUAGAGGACUUAGGGAGGAAGGCAGGAGUAUGAGUAGAUAAGAGGAAAUACAGGGGUUAGGACUGGUAGUUUUUGUUGAAAUGUAAGCAAAUUUCUUCUUUAGUUUUUGGGCUUCAUAGUGACAACAAGUGUUGGUAAGUUUCUUCUUCAUCGCAUUUGCGAGGGCAGAGAGUUGAGUUGUGCUAGCCAAUAUGAUGGCCUUCGCGUUCGUGAGGCUACGUGUCACAUUCGCAAAGGGCUAGCAACCUUAGGCUUCAAAUUCGCGAGGCGCCUCACCGCGUUUGCGAUGUUGUGUGCGUGAGUGGGCCGCGAUCGCUAGCCUUGGGCUCUGCGAUCGCGAAGAGCUUUUGGGAAAGGUCUUUUGAAUAAGACCAUUCAUGUAAUCAGCCUGAUCCGAAUGGUUGUUUUGGCAAUUUUGGGAGCUAGGG
rnacentral:lncRNA from 1 species